AGUAGGUAUCAUACUGGACCGAAAGCUCCUGAUCCCGUCCAAUCUUGGAAGGUAAACCAUUCCAGCCUGGCUAGUACUUGGAUGGGGUGACCGCCUGGGAAUCCCAGGUGCUGUAGUUGUUA
rnacentral:rRNA from 1 species